GGGUCGUUAGCUCAGUUGGUAGAGCAGUUGACUUUUAAUCAAUUGGUCGCAGGUUCGAAUCUGCACGACCCACCA
rnacentral:tRNA from 2 species